ensembl:lncRNA KCNMA1-AS3 KCNMA1 antisense RNA 3
AAAGGCUAGAGGGUGGUUUGGGGGUGGAGGCAGAGGUCCAGUGAGCUGGGCUCCACCCUUUCUCUCCCUGCAGUCCCAACUCCAUUUUUAUCUGUGCUAUAUGUUGGAGUCUAGCCAAGAUGUCAUUUGAACAAAGAUUCUGAAAGAUCAAAGAAAAAAGUUUGAAAACCACCAGGACAAUGCUUUCAGGGGACUUUAUCCAAAAGACUGCAACAAUGUAAAGAGAUACGAUUGCUUUUAUUACUGUGAUAUGUUUAAAGUAUUAUAAAUUUUUUAAGAGCUUUGUAAGUGACAGAAGUGAAGACAUGCUCAUUUUAAUGUUACCAGUCAACUCUGAGAAGACUAAAGGUCAAGGGACAAUGAAAAUGUGACCCUUACCAACGACAGAAACUCCCAGGAAGCCACAAUUAACUCAAGACCACCAGGAUAUUUGGGGAAGUUUAUCCUUCUGGAAACCAGAAUUUCUGAUUUGUGGAAAAUUCUAUAGAUAUUCUCUGCCAGACUCCAGCCUAUUUGUGUGAGACAUCUGGGGAGGCUCCCCUUUUUUUCACCAUUUGAGGACUGAAAGUAAAUUUAGCUUCCUCAGCAGAAAGAAAAGAAGCUGUUUUGGAGGUUGGGAAGAGCUUUAGAAAAUGCGGCAUCACGUCUGUUGCCCCAUUUGAAGAAAGCAGCUCUGGAAAAGGCCUAGGACAUUAGUUGCUACAAAGUUCUAGAUCAUUCUGUGUGGUAAAGAAGUGCCUUUCACCUCCCACUGUGAUUCUGAGGCCUCCCCAGCCAUGUGGAACUGUAAGUCUGUGUUGGUAAAUUAGACACCGUGUGGCCUUUCAACAUCCAGGAGCAAGAUGGCAGGAGAAUCAUGCCAACAACUGAGGAGUGAUAUCCACCCAGGUUUGCUCAGUAAGACUAUGAGACCUAUCUUCCUGGCUGUGGUGAUUGGUUCAGAAGCAACAUGCCAACCAACCUGAUCCAAUGAGAGUGAGUUCUAGGACUUUUGCUGGAACUACUGUAUGUCUAUAUAUAAAAGAGAAUCUAUCUUUCUAUUGAAAGCCAAAGGUAAGAAGCCAAUAUGAUAUGCAUUUGAUUCUGUUACGGAAAUCCACAUAAAAGAAGGCUGCCCAAGUAUAAAACCAACACAGAAGAAAGCAGAGGUAAGAGAUGGAAAAAGAAAUGAGUGAACCAGUGACAGCAAGAGACUGAAGAACAUCAUUUGAUUGCCUGGAAUCAGCUAAGCCUGAAGAGAAGCCUAACCCUAAGCUUUUCAGUUACCCAAGCCAUCAAAUUCCCAUCCCCAUUUUUUUGGUUCUUAAGCAGCUUGAACCAUAGUUGUCUCACUUGCAUGCAAGAGAUCCCUGAAGAUACAUGCAGUUCCUCAGGUGAAGAUUGCCAUCAGUUAACAGAUCCUGGCACCCAUGGACCCUGGGACAGUCAUUCUGGUAGCAUCCUCUGGUAGAGAAUAACAUAGUCAAAUCUGACAGUCAGAGAGUAUCUGCCAGCCUCUGCUUAGAUAUAGCCCACUGAAAGGGAGAGAUGAUUAAUUUAGCCUUGAUUUCAAAACCUUGUCUUGUAUAUUCCAUUCAGCACUUUUUAUCUUCCUGUAUUCCCCUGGUUCCUCUCUAGCUGAAUAAAGAACAAUUUUUAAAGCAAA